rnacentral:rRNA from 1 species
UAUUCCUACGGGGGGCAGCAGUAGGGAAUCUUCCACAAUGGGCGAAAGCCUGAUGGAGCAACGCCGCGUGGGUGAAGAAGGUCUUCGGAUCGUAAAACCCUGUUGUUAGAGAGGAAAGUGCGUGAGAGUAACUGUUCACGUUUCGACGGUAUCUAACCAGAAAGCCACGGCUAACUACGUGCCAGCAGCCGCGGUAAUACGUAGGUGGCAAGCGUUAUCCGGAUUUAUUGGGCGUAAAGGGAACGCAGGCGGCCUUUUAAGCCUGAUGUGAAAGCCUUCGGCUUAACUGGAGUAGUGCAUUGGAA